rnacentral:misc_RNA from 1 species
GUAUAUGUUUUAUAGGCACAACAUUCUAUCGACAUACAUUGGGGUAAAUGAAACGACAUAGACCUGAAAAGGUCUACAAAAGGUGCACAGGUGGAGAUAUAAAGACGACAAGUGUGCACAUGCUCUCUAUGAGAGCCAGCAGCAACUCAUCAGGUUUAAUUCAAUAAUGAUCCUUCCGCAGGUUCACCUACGGAAA